GGCAGGAUGUACUUGGGCUGGGACUCAAUUCAGCUGCUCACACACAGGCAUCUAUUACCAUCUGAGAUCCCCUCGGAAGUCCAAGAAGCACACAAGGCUGGAAGACAUGGCACACAGAGCCUCUGCGAGCAGUUAGUUGUGUCCUGGCCUCCUCAGCUGGCUGUAGCUGUUUCUGUUCUAAACUCGGCUCCUCAUGCUCUCAGGCCAAUCAUGUCAAUCUGGUGGAGUAAAGGUCUAAAGGAAGUCAGACCAAUGUAACUGUGUGGACACCCGCUUUGUUAAAAGGAUGGGAAAACCUUCUCCCUGGAGAUCUUAGACAAAAAAAAAUUGAUGGUUGAUAGAUUUCAUAUGGAACAUACAACAAAAACCUCAAGGGACAGAACUCUCCAGCCAGACUGCAUCUCCCAUGACAGGCCAUAUUUCCCCGGCACCUUGGCUGGAGUCUUUUCAAGAUUAACAAUCUGGGUGGAGGGAGGAAAGAUGGUGGAAUCAAUCUUUUCCUUUUCC
ensembl:lncRNA